AUACGGAGGGUGCAAGCGUUACUCGGAAUCACUGGGCGUAAAGCGCGCGCAGGCGGUCUUUUAAGUUGGAUGUGAAAGCCUACGGCUCAACCGUAGAACUGCAUCCAAAACUAUUAGACUAGAGUGUGGGAGAGGAAGAUGGAAUUAGUUGUGUAGGGGUAAAAUCCGUAGAGAUAACUAGGAAUACCAAAAGCGAAGGCAAUCUUCUGGAACACUACUGACGCUGAGGCGCGAAAGCGUGGGGAGCAAACAGCAUUAGAAACCCUAGUAGUCC
rnacentral:rRNA from 1 species